rnacentral:rRNA from 1 species
AGUGAACGCUGGCGGCAGGCCUAACACAUGCAAGUCGAACGGCAGCACAAGAGAGCUUGCUCCCUGGGUGGCGAGUGGCGGACGGGUGAGGAAUGCAUCGGAAUCUGUCCAUUUGCGGGGGAUAACCCCGGGAAACCGUGACUAAUAUCGCAUACGACCUACGGGUGAAAGCAGGGGAUCUUUGCACCUUGCGCAGAUGGAUGAGCCGAUGUCGGAUUAGCUAGUUGGAGGGGUAAAGGCCCACCAAGGCGACGAUCCGUAGCUGGUCUGAGAGGAUGAUCAGCCACACUGGGACUGAGACACGGCCCAGACUCCUACGGGAGGCAGCAGUGGGGAAUAUUGGACAAUGGGCGCAAGCCUGAUCCAGCCAUGCCGCGUGUGUGAAGAAGGCCUUCGGGUUGUAAAGCACUUUUGUUGGGAAAGAAAAGCAGCCGGUUAAUACCCGGUUGUCCUGACGGUACCCAAAGAAUAAGCACCGGCUAACUUCGUG